CAUAAAACAGGGACACCGCAUGGUGAUAUUUGUUAAAGAAAUUCGCUGAUAGAUGGGCAUGCGUUCCAUUAGGUAGUUGGUGAGGUAACGGCUCACCAAGCCGACGAUGGAUAGGGGAACUGAGAGGUUGGUCCCCCACACUGGUACUGAGACACGGGCCAGACUCCUACGGGAGGCAGCAGUGAGGAAUAUUGGUCAAUGGGCGAGAGCCUGAACCAGCCAAGUCGCGUGAAGGAAGAAGGAUCUAUGGUUCGUAAACUUCUUUUGCAGGGGAAUAAAGUGCAGGACGUGUCCUGUUUUGUAUGUACCCUGAGAAUAAGGAUCGGCUAACUCCGUGCCAGCAGCCGCGGUAAUACGGAGGAUCCGAGCGUUAUCCGGAUUUAUUGGGUUUAAAGGGUGCGUAGGUGGUUUGAUAAGUCAGCGGUGAAAGUUUGCAGCUUAACUGUAAAAAUGCCGUUGAAACUGUCGGACUUGAGUGUAAAUGAGGUAGGCGGAAUGCGUGGUGUAGCGGUGAAAUGCUUAGAUAUCACGAAGAACUCCGAUUG
rnacentral:rRNA from 1 species